rnacentral:rRNA from 1 species
CCUGGCUCAGAUUGAACGCUGGCGGAAUGCUUACACAUGCAAGUCGAACGGUAGAAGGGGGCAACCCCUUGAGAGUGGCGAACGGGUGAGUAAUAUAUCGGAACGUGCCCAGUCGUGGGGGAUAACGUAGCGAAAGUUACGCUAAUACCGCAUACGAUCUACGGAUGAAAGCGGGGGAUCGCAAGACCUCGCGCGAUUGGAGCGGCCGAUAUCAGAUUAGGUAGUUGGUGAGGUAAAGGCUCACCAAGCCAACGAUCUGUAGCUGGUCUGAGAGGACGACCAGCCACACUGGAGCUGAGACACGGUCCAGACUCCUACGGGAGGCAGCAGUGGGGAAUUUUGGACAAUGGACGCAAGUCUGAUCCAGCCAUUCCGCGUGCAGGAUGAAGGCCCUCGGGUUGUAAACUGCUUUUGUACGGAACGAAAAGGUCUCUCUUAAUACGGGGGGCUCAUGACGGUACCGUAAGAAUAAGCACCGGCUAACUACGUG